rnacentral:lncRNA from 1 species
AUUUUUUAUUCUCAUUUUAGAUCAUCACUGAUGAGGUUAAAAAAGUUGGCGUACCUGGUGAUGUCCAAUUGGUUAUAACUCCAAAUUAACUUGAGGAAUUGCCGGUUAAAAUCUGAUAUUUACCAUGUAUUGAGUAAAAUUCAAGUAGGAAGUUAGACUUUUGUUCCCACAGUGAUAAUUAUCCCUUGCAAAUGGGGAAAUGGCUACUCGGAAUUCAUGAAAGGAUGAUUUUCCCCCCAGGUACCUCCAUGAAGUUUGCUCGCCGUCUGUUGUUCAUAAAAAUAUCAAGUCAGCUAACAUCUUACUUGAUGCUGAACUCAACCCUCACCUUUCAGACUCGGGAUUGGCGACGUUUAUUCCAAAUGCAGAUGAGGUAAAUUUUGUACAUUCUAGAAGUCACUGUUCCUACAAGAACUAAUAUGAUUCCAUUUUAUGUUAGUUAUUGAGUUUCCCACUAGCUUUACGAAACUAUGUUGUCCAUAAUUUGUUUUUGAAUUAUCUUGCCUCUUUUGUUUGAUAAAAGUUCUUCAUUCCACGCAUGUUGACUAGCAUUUGUCAAAGGAUGUGCUGGCUAUUACCAUCUCGGACUUUGUAUGUUUAUAUCCUAUUCUUAACAAUUUUUUAUCGCAAAUGAAGCAUCGGUUAGAAAAAUCGUAAAAUGGCUUUGUAUUCUUCCUCGCAAAAGAGUUCAUUAUAUUCGGUAACAUGAACUAAACUUAGGGUGUUUCAUGGUCUAUGAAUAAUAUGGUUCUUUGUAUGACACAUGAUGUUUGCUCAAGUGCGUAAGGGUUUCAAUGGUUGCUUGCGCAUAAACUGAACCCAUCUCAUUCUGGUAUGCAGGUACUAAAUCGUGACAAUGUGGGGUCUGGAUACAGUGCACCUGAGGUUACUAUGUCCGGACAGUACUCUCUUAAGAGUGAUGUUUACGGUUUUGGAGUGGUUAUGUUGGAACUUCUCACUGGACGUAAGCCAUUUGACAG